GGCCAAGGGCGUUUCUAUGGUAACCAGGCUUCCACUGCACUGGUAUGAAGGCAGCAUCUGCCGUUCAGAGACGAGGUCACUGCCGUUGUGCCGAUUUUGCAUCAGGAGAAUAUAGGCAACCUGACGCUUCUCUUCAGACAGAUCUCAGAAGACGUGAACCAGGCCUGCCUGAAGAUGCAAGCUGACCAGGCGGUCUACCUCCGUGGUGUAAUUUCGAGGGCUCUUGGCACUCAUGGUUGUAGACAUGUAAAAGCUGGACACAGGGCAGAUCUUUGAAGACUCUGAAAAGCAAACACUGGCCAUCAGAUGGAAGAAAACCCCGGCCAGAAAGUGAAGUACUAUCAAAUUGAUGCUGAUACCAAAGUUGUUAGCCAUGGCCAAGGCUAGAAGAAGCCCCAAAUCUUUACCAAGGCACAAAUGAAGCUGCCCAGAUUCUCCGAUUAAUCAAGGCCUUCUCUGUUGAAACGAGGACUCUGACCUGCGAACUACAAGGAAUUCUGAAACUAUUUCAAGCUCUAAAAUGUUUUACUUAUUGCUAAGCGUUUGAUUAACCAGACUUAAUCUCCUUUAGUUCUAUUUGGUAUGCAACAUGCAACAAAAAUAUAAUUGUAAACAUUAAAUAUAUAAAAAGGUGACAAUCCCGUACCAGAUCUGGAUAUUUACAAGUUCUCACAAAAUCCUUCAAAAAUGUGUUUUAAUUGUUUUUUUUAUUAGCAAGUCUGAUCCACUGAGACUCCUUAAUUGAGAAGGUAAAUCUUAACUCCCUUUCAUCAUUUUCUCUCUCUUUCAGCUUCCAAUGGAAAGAAAUUCUCUUUAUUAAGAUGCAAAUUUCAGACUGAGCAUCAGUCCCCCCAAAGUAAGCUCUCACUGAGUUCUUUCUGAGCCUAACCCUCUUGAGGGCCUGAUUUUCAAAUUCAAAUACAGGAAGACUAUUUGUCAGUGUGGUUUUGGCAGCGUAUAAUUGCCCCUUGAAGUAAACAAGUUGGCAGUGUUGCAAAAGAGGAAGGGAUUCUUAUUUAAUUUGUAUGGGAAUUAGGUUCUGCACACAAAUCCCUCUGAAUGCUAGGGAUUCAAAUUUUCUGUAUGGUUUUUCCAAAGAAAAAGCAUCACGAAGCAAGUGAAUGCUCUUGGUCACAGGGUCAGGGAAGUGUAGCCAUGGCAAUAAAAGCCACGGUGCCAGGGAGCAGCCAACCAAUGUUCCAGUCUAUAAGCAUAUUGAAAUUACUAGUUUAGAUUCCACAUCCUGCUGGAAAAACAUCUUCCUCUUGACCUGUAUUUCUCUGGUGCUUUUGGAUGUAACAAGACAGGAGUAAGGGGAAGUCUUGCGCAAGCACUGGAUGCUCAGAUUGUCUUUCUGCCUGUGAUAGUCUAGGACCAUGUGUUGCAAGCUGAGGUGGAGGAGAACGAAAGGCAGUUUUCCCAUCAGUUAGCUGCCAAGCUCUGGCAUUCCUUCACCGUGCUGUGUAACUAGAGACAGGAGGUAUAUUUCAUGAGCACAUGGGCCACUCACUCACACACACACACACACACACACACACACACACACACACACACACACCUUGUUAUAAUUUCCCUAAAGGACCAUUUUAUUAACACAUUCCCAUCUCUUUUUUGUGGAUUUUCUAGAGAGGUUUUCUCUGUGAAGUCCUGGUUGUCCUGGAACUUACUCUGUAGACCAGGCUGGCCUUGAUCUAAGGGAUCCACAUGUUUCUGCCUCCCAAGUGCUGAGAUUAAGGGUGUGUACCACCACCACCCAGCAAUGAUGAAAUAUUUUCAUACAUGGAUUUAUUCUUUGGAAGUAACUUCCUUGUUUUAGUAUUAUACAUAUAAUUCUGAGAUGUAUAUGGCACCAUAACUCCUUAGCUUUUGAAUUCAAACAAACUAUAAUCUUGGUUAUAGUUAAUAACUUAAAAAUGUUUCAAAUUAAAAGGAAUAUACUGUACUAAUAAUUCCUACUUUACUAGAUACAGGUAGAGAGGGGACUAGCAAGGAAAUGGACAAAAAGGGCAAACAGCAUGAUCUAUGUGAUUGUGUUUAAAGAAAACUACCAUUAUUUCAUUUAACCUGACCUAUCUGCCAUGAAGGUUCAACAUAUAUGUUAAUUCUGUGAAAUUAUAAUCAAAUAAACUUAUGAUCAAGUAAA